UACGUAGGUCGCAAGCGUUGUCCGGAAUUUAUUGGGCGUAAAGAGCUCGUUAGGCGGUCUGUCGCGCUGCUGUGAAAACCCGGAGGCUCAACCUCGGGCCUGCAGUGGGUACGGGCAGACUAGAGUGCGGUAGGGGAGAUUGGAAUUCCUGGUGUAGCGGUGGAAUGCGCAGAUAUCAGGAGAACACCGAUGCGAAGGCAGAUCUCUGGGCCGUAACUGACGCUGAGGAGCGAAAGCGUGGGGAGCGAACAGG
rnacentral:rRNA from 1 species